UAUCUCUGCAUCCACAUAUUUGAUGGAUUUGCUUGUUUUUGUGUUUAUUAUCCCAGGGGAAUUUCUUCAGCAGUAACUAAAGUCAAUGAAGAAAGUAAAGGACUUGCAAAAGUUUCCUAGCUGAUUCUGCCAACUGAAAUAGUUUUAUUAUGCUCUUCUUGUGGACAGAAUGAGUCUCAAAACUGAAAUCAAUUCAAUAAUUGUCCAAAUCCAUCUGAGGCCCUGUGUCUGUAUAAACUGAUUUCCAUGGCUGCUCCUCCAUGUAAGACUUUGCCAUUCUCUGCCUCCAAAAGGACUUGGAUCUAGGAUGACCAUAGCAUCAGGCAUCUUUUGACUAUGGAGAUAAUCAGCCAGUGCCUCUGACCAAGCCAUGUUUUAAUCCAAGAGUAACUACCCUUGGAGAAUAUCGCCUGUUUCCGGGAGUAAGAAGAAAAUGGUCUGCACCAUGGCAACAUGUAUUACUACUGGCUGCCCAGUGGAGCAAAAGGAACUCUGUUCGGGGCUAGAUUUCACGUCAGACAGAAAGGUUAUCGUGGAGACACAAAAAAACAUAUGUUCUUGGGCGUAUAGGUUUGAACCAUAUUUAAAUCAUAUGAGAUGAUAACAUUGAGUAGAACUGGUUGAGUAUCACACAUAAACAUUCAAAGUGGAUUAAUUUUAUUUUGCAUUACGUUCCAUUUGGAUUCUCUUAAACAAAAAGCCAUCAUUUUUUCUACAACCACCAAUUUUAUAGCAGAUGUUAUACAUUCUUUGAAAGCAAAGACUGUGACAUUUAUCUUUGUAUUUCUUUCAGCACCUAUGUAAAGAUUUCUAAUAAAUGCUUGAUGGAUAUAUUAAUGGUUUCUUUA
rnacentral:lncRNA from 1 species